rfam:Zootermopsis nevadensis contig3617, whole genome shotgun sequence.
UGGGCUAGCGGUUAGAACGCUGGCCUUGUAAGCCUGGGGUCCCGGGUUCAAUUCCCGG